AGUGUGCCUAGCGCAACUGCACAGGCGCAAAGAACGUCCUCUCGUUUCCAUAGGAACCUCGACCCCGAGUAAUCCGGACAGUUACUCUGAGCGGUUUGUUAGAAUAUUGCUCCCUCAGAUACAAAGGAGGUAGGACCGGGUUUGCAGACAAUUACAGGGACAAAGUGGGGAACUUACCCUGCUACCCGGGACCAGCACUGCCAAAUUCUCCUGGGUGUCCUGGAGUCCACGCGCUCCCGGGGCCUCGGCGUCCUGAGGAGUUCGGCGAGACCAGAGUUUGGCUUUCUGACCUGUAAGGUGCCUCUCGCCUUGAGCCAAUUUCUAAAUCUUGUCACCCUCCAGAGGAGGGCCUACGCGGCACACACACAGAUAUGGGAUGGUUCAGAGCUUCAGGGGACAAGUGCGUCCUUUAUUGGAAACAAACCAAGGAGGCAUCUUAUCUCCUGAUGACCCUUGUUUGUACCUGGAGCCCUGCUGUUGCCCUUCACUUGCUUCUUCUCCACAGACUGCAGGUUCUUCCUGCUCCUAGGCUCUGGAGAACACGGAGAUUGGGGGUCUCCUAGAGGAAAGCCUUCUGCACCCCAGUGUAAUAGAAAGGUAGGUGAGAACAUGGGUGUGGGGACUUUGAAGAAGCUACGCGGACUUUGCUUGAGGGGAUCAGCUCCAAGAACUGGGGCGGUGGAAGUUGGCAGUUCGCUGGCCCUACCUUCUCGACCGUGACCUCUCGAUCUCGGACCCCUCCCGGCGGCGAUGGCGCCUUCCCCUUGUGUGGCCCCGGCGCCCCCGGCCCCGCCCCCCCGUUCGCUCCCUUCCCGGCGGCGGCGGGGGCGGAGGCGGGGUCCGGGCGUUGGGCUUCGGGGCUCGGCUGAGCCGCUGCCCGCUCCGGCGCGUCCACUCCCUGCCUGGCCCGCCCUCCUGCCACGGGCCGCCUAGCCAGGCAGCCGCUCGAGGGGCUGCCGGCAGUCUCGGCGCUCCCGGCCGCUGACGGACUUUUUCCUGCUGGGUCCGGCCAGGCUGCGUCUCCCCCACAACACCCUCCUGCAGUAAUCACUCCCAGGCCACCGCGGGCUCGGGGCCCCGGCCACCCCGCCGCGCCUACCUGCCUCUGGCUCCCAGGCGGUGGGCAGCAUGGAGGGCUCCGGCCACGCCGCGCGCAGCGUAGUAACCGGAGUCCCGUGGCGGCCCGGCCCGGCCCGGCCCGGCCCAGCUAGGUUUGCUCUGCCCUCCGCCCUCCUCUCGCGCGCCCUCCUGCCCUCCCCGCGGGCCGAGGAAGGAGUUCAGCGCGGCCCGAGGUGUCGGCCUCCCCCUCGCUUCCCGCUGCUCGGCCGCGGGCUCCCCCUCUGCCUCUCUCCCUCCCUCUUCCUCUCCUGGCCCCCUCCUCCCUUGCGCCGCGGCCCCCCCCCCACACCCUCGCUGCCCGCCUCGGACUCGCUCGCCCCGAUUCUGGCGCGGGGCUCUGUGUCCGCGGGUUCCCUGGGACCCCGCCUCGCCGCGGCUCCAGGUGGCCGCCCGUCCAGGUCUGAGGGUUGUCCAGGCUCCCCGCCGCGUUCUCAGCCACCUCCUGGCUCCGCCAAGCGGACUCCAGGAAUGCCGCGUCCCCACCCGGCCCCUCUCGAGGGCGCCCGGCCGUACCUCCCCAGCCCGAGCUCUGCUCCCCGGCCCGGCCCGGGCUUGGGGCUCCGAGGGUGGGGAGGAGGACGGGAACCGGAUCUCACUGGUGCUGGGCGGGGGCGGAGGCCUCGGCCUCGGACGCCUGGCUCCUACCUGCUCGGAGGUCCAUGGGGCUGGGGGCCGGGCCGGCCGGGCGCGGCUCCUCUCCCAGAGGCUGGCGGAGUGGGAGGGCGAGCCGCGGCUCCGGCGAAGCUUUAAUAAUCCCAUCCGCCAGGCCCACUCGCAGGUUUUUUUCUCUCGGUUUCGCAUUUUUUUUUCGGUGUGGGACAUUCUGCAAACUUUUUUUUUUCUGACGUGUAAAGCUGUAACCACAAAUUGUAGCAGCCCUCCCCGGGUGGGGGGAAGAGGGGGGAGGAGGGAAGGGAGGGCUUCUGGGGCUCCUCUCCCUCCCACAACACUGAGGGGGGGGGUGGUGAGGUGAGGCAAGGCUGCGACGGUACCACCCUAGGCCUCCUGGGGGAGGGGGCAGGGAGGGCAUCGUCCCUCGGCAAACUCCUGAGAGCUUGGAAAGGGAGCUGGCCUUGGUGUGGGCUUCUUCCUUGGUGUCGGCCAAGGCAUGCUGGCCUUCUUCCCUCUGCUCAUUGCCGGGUUGAGGGUCCCUGUACCCACUCUACCUCUGCCUCUUCAUUCUAACCUUCCCUCCCCCUCCCACUUGAGUAAAUGCAAUGACACAUUCUCUCAAAUGCCAGCAAGCUGGCCUCCAAGCAAGUGAUGGUGUUUUUCCUGCUGCCCUUUGUCUGGGCUGACCGCCCCCCUUGCCUAUUGUCCCGCCACUUGUCCCACUUCCAAAAGCUAGAGCUAAGUGUGGCGCCAGGGGCUGGGGCAGGUGACUAACCAGCUCACAAUGCCCCCUGAGGAGGGGAGAGGGCACCAGGGCCCAGCUUCUCAGUCAAGUUCACAAGGGUUUUCAUUCUUCCCGGUGACCAGGGAGAGUGCACAUGGGUGGGGGAUUUGUAAUUCAUUAAUCAGCACAAGGCACCGGACCAGUUUCAACACCAGAGGCUUCACGGGUGACUCAGCGGGAACUCGAAGAUUCAAGGCCAUGGAUAGACCCAGCAUCCCGUUAGUGAAAAGCUUCCCCAUCGAGACAUUUGGCAUCCUCUUCCCUUUGGGGGUUUGGGUUGUUGGUUUUUCCGGUGGUGAGGUAGGGGUGGUUUGGCUAAGAGCAUUCUCCCUCCUUCCCCUCAGGCCUGGGUUGGGACUUUCUGAGUGGGAGACCUAGGGGACCCAUAAGCCUAGACCCUCCCAGGAGGGUCUCCUUUCCUCCUCCUUCCUCCCUCUCCAGAGGGCUGCCAGGGAGAGCGAGGGAGCAUGAGAGCUAGUGCAGAGGAAACAGCUGUCAUCUGGGGCUUGGAGGCAGCCCCAUUCUGUGAUUUUUCUUGGGGGACAGUCAUUUGGUCCCCAAGUCUUGGGUGCUUGUAGAAGCAUUCCACCAAUUAAGUCAUCUGAUAAGUUGCUGUGUUGUUUCUCUGUAGUCUCACCAGGGGUAGAUAGCGGUGGCAGCCAGCCGUGGAAGGUGAUGCCUGUCUCUGGAAUGGCAUGAGGAACCCUAUGAGACAGAUGCUGUCCUUUUCCUUAAGUGAGGAGGAAGCAGGUGAAAUCACUGCACCAUAGCCCACCAGACUGCAUGGUAGAGCAGGGGUAAGGACCCAGCAUUGUCUGACCUUAGGGACUAUGGCCGUUUGACUACACCAUGCAGGUACCAACCUGGGGACUGCCUUGAGAGGAAUCCACAGAGAAGAGGUUGAGAGCACAUUUUGUGUCCGGGGAGUAUGAGGUCUGUGGCUAUGGGCACGGGGGGCGGGGGGGGGGGUCCGUUCAAGAUACCAAGGUGUGGGCUGGUAAGAUGGCUCAGUGGGUAGGGGCACUGACUGCUCUUCCAAAGGUCCUGAGUUCAAAAUCCCAGCAACCACAUGGUGGCUCACAACCACCCAUAAUGAGUUCUGACGCCCUCUUCUGGUAUGUCUGAAGUCAGCUACAGUGAAUUUAUGUAUAAUAAUAAAUAAAUCUUAAAAAAAAAAAAGAUACCAAGGUGUUCCUUGAGACAUUUACAGAUUAUUCUAGCAUUGGAGUAGUAGAAUCCUGGCUCCUCUGCCACAUGUGGCAUCACCCUCCUGUGUCCAAGAGAGGCCAGAUUCUAAGAACACUGACAACCUCAGCUAGAUUCUGGAUUCUGUUAGUAGGGAGCUUGGAUCCACACAAUGAGCAUUAAAGUGGGGGUUUGAAGUCAUCUACCAAAGCAGCAGGACAGGGGCUUCCUUCUUCACUGGUCACAAAGACAUUCCCUAGAUGGCUUCAGGGGCCCAAUCCCAGAUACCUUUUGGAAGUGUUCUGCAGGGUGUACCAAAAACUCCUGUAGUGGUGAGAGGAGGGAAGGAGGAGAAGGCUGAGCAUAGGAGAGCUGGCAGUUUCCCUUUUUCUCCAACACACUCCAGCCCAGAGGGCCCUGCCUCACCCUGAGCUGGCCCUGAUGUCAGCGGAAACCCCAGGGGCAGAGGGCUCCUCUCACCUCAGCAACUUCCCUGCCCUGCCCUUGCUCCCCCACCCACACCUGGCCCAGCUCAAGACACCCCACCCUACUUCCCCCUUGGAGCUGGAAGGAAGCUGAACCGCACCUGUACUGGCGAUUUGGUUCUGUUGCUGUCUCCCCUCUACCCCACCAUGGCUUUCUCUGUCAUGCAUAGGGUGAUGGGUGAUGGGUGUGGGCAGACACGGGCAGAGGAGACACCGAGGCCCAGGUGCCUGACUUCCCCUUUGCCUGCCAGGAGUUGUCCUUGCCAUUCUCCCAGGAUGUUCCAUUGCCCUGGCCAACCCAUGCUGCAGGCUCUGUGACUCUGUCUCCCCUGGCAGAGAAGUGGGGUUACCUCUCCCUGGGCUGGGAGAUCCUUAUCCUGCCCUGCUGAGUCACUGCUGGCUCCUCCCGCCCGCCUUCUCCCCUCCUUUCUCCCCACUAUCCUCUUUUCAGGCCUCUCCAUGCUGUCCAGGCCAAGGGUCAAUGAUGAACCGAUGAUAAAGAUGCUUGCUUAGUGACAGAGGAGAGGGUAUGUUCCUCCUCUACCAAGUGGCCUUGGGCAAGUCACCGUCUCCUCCAACUCCUUCAUGUCCUCUUUUUCUAGACAGGGAUGGUGGUAACAUGAUAGUAGCAGCUAGUGGUUCCUAAUCGAGGGGUCUGCAUAAAUACAAUAGGAACUGGAGCUGGGGGGAGCUCGGCGGCAGAGUGCUCCCCUGGUGGUUCCUAAUCGAGGGGUCUGCAUAAAUACAAUAGGAACUGGAGCUGGGGGGAGCUCGGCGGCAGAGUGCUCCCCUGGUCCAUGAGGCCCUGAGUCUGGUCCCCAGCACUGCAGACAAACAAACAGAGUCAACAACAUAACAACAGUGAGGAACACAGUUCAUCCCGCACUGAGGAGGCAGAGGCACUGUGUGUGAGUCAGGGCUCUCAGAGCCUUCCUGUCCCAGAACAGAACAGUGAUAGUGAAACAGGGGCUGAGGGCAUGGCGAGGCUUGAGGGUCAAGGGCGACCCCCCUGACUGGUCAGAGAGAAUUGCAUGGCCAACAGAAGAGUAUAGAGCUGGGAGGAACUGGUACCCAUGUCUGUGCAGUCCUGUUACCUCCCAAAGGCUUCCCGAAACAGCUGCUGAGUCAAAUGUAGACCUAGACACAGCCUGCCUUCCAGGGCCACAUGGAAAGGUGACUUUAAUACUGACUAGACAUGUGGGCAGCUUGCUAGGAUGCUUCAGCGCAGACCAGAGUGCCCGGAACCAGCCUUUCCUCAACCUCUGACCCAACAAGGACUCUGGACAGAUCGAUCCAUCAGGGGGUUUGUUAUCAGAAAUUCCAGACUGGGAUUUGCAGUGGCUGAGCAUGCACAAGCAGGGUUCUGAGUUCUAUCCUCUGCACUGGGUAGAGUGGAGGCCCAGAUCCACCAGCUACAAGUGACCCUCUCCACCUCACAAAAUCCUCAGAGUUGUGGUGAGGCUCACAUGAAACAGUGAAGCAAAGGCUUUGCAAAUUGCAGAGCUCCAAGGAGAUUCAAGAAUCCUCUAGUCUCCCACAUGCCGCUGCUGCUUACUUACCU